rnacentral:sRNA from 1 species
UUUUACCUAAAUCCCUUAACCUCUCUGAACCUCCUCAGCUAUUUUCCUCAAACAAGAUAAUGCAAAUGAAAGCACUUUUGACCUGUGAAGUGUUGCACAGGUGCCUCGGAUCAUGCUGGAGUUAUUGACACCAGUGCUUACGUCACCGCCAGGGGAGGGUGCUCUGGGAGGUUUUUUUGACUUCUUGGACUUUGAAGGUGUGGUGGUGGGAAGCUCAGCUGUGGGAAGACAGGCCUCCACUGGGAUGAAGGAUGCAUGUUAGGGGACCCUGCGGGCCAGGUUGGCAGGACCUUGCUGGGCCGGGCCACCGGCAGGCUCACCGUCUUGCCCCUCUCAGUGCCAGCUCAGGCCAGACCUUCUUCUCAGAUGUCGACUCCACCGACGCUGCCAGCACCUCUGGGUCUGCCUCCACCAGCCUCUCCUAUGACUCCAGAUGGACAGUGGGCAGCCGAAAGAGGAAGCUGGCAGCCAAGGCAUACAUGCCCCUGCGGGCAAAGCGAUGGGCAGCUGAGCUGGAUGGACGCUG